rnacentral:rRNA from 1 species
UUAUGGCUCAGGAUGAACGCUAGCUACAGGCUUAACACAUGCAAGUCGAGGGGCAGCAUUGGGAUAGCUUGCUAUUCAGAUGGCGACCGGCGCACGGGUGAGUAACGCGUAUCCAACCUUCCUGCCAGUAGGGAACAGCCCGGCGAAAGUCGGAUUAAUGCCCUAUGUUCUUCAAUGCGGACAUCUAAGUUGAAGGAAAGAUUCAUCGCUGGCAGAUGGGGAUGCGUCCGAUUAGCUUGCCGGCGGGGUAACGGCCCACCGGGGCGACGAUCGGUAGGGGUUCUGAGAGGAAGGUCCCCCACACUGGUACUGAGACACGGACCAGACUCCUACGGGAGGCAGCAGUGAGGAAUAUUGGUCAAUGGGCGUAAGCCUGAACCAGCCAAGUAGCGUGCCAGGACGACGGCCCUACGGGUUGUAAACUGCUUUUAUGCGGGGAUAAAGUGCGGCACGUGUGCCGCUUUGCAGGUACCGCAUGAAUAAGGACCGGCUAAUUCCGUGCCAGCCGCCGC